rnacentral:rRNA from 1 species
CAAGUCGAGCGAUGAACCCUAGCUUGCUUCGCUUGUUAGUGGCGAACGGGUGAGUAAUAUAUCGGAACGUGCCUUGUAAUGGGGGAUAACUAGUCGAAAGAUUAGCUAAUACCGCAUACGCCCUGAGGGGGAAAGUAGGGGAUCUUCGGACCUUACGUUAUAAGAGCGGCCGAUAUCUGAUUAGCUAGUUGGUGGGGUAAUGGCCUACCAAGGCUUCGAUCAGUAGCUGGUCUGAGAGGACGACCAGCCACACUGGAACUGAGACACGGUCCAGACUCCUACGGGAGGCAGCAGUGGGGAAUUUUGGACAAUGGGCGCAAGCCUGAUCCAGCCAUUCCGCGUGAGUGAAGAAGGCCUUCGGGUUGUAAAGCUCUUUCGCAAGGGAAGAAAACUUACUUUCUAAUAAAGGGUGAGGCUGACGGUACCUUGAUAAGAAGCACCGGCUAACUACGUGCCAGCAGCCGCGGUAAUACGUAGGGUGCGAGCGUUAAUCGGAAUUACUGGGCGUAAAGCGUGCGCAGGCGGUUUGGCAAGUCAGAUGUGAAAUCCCCGAGCUCAACUUGGGAACUGCGUUUGAAACUGCCAGACUAGAACAUGUCAGAGGGGGGUAGAAUUCCACGUGUAGCAGUGAAAUGCGUAGAGAUGUGGAGGAAUACCAAUGGCGAAGGCAGCCCCCUGGGAUAAUAUUGACGCUCAUGCACGAAAGCGUGGGGAGCAAACAGGAUUAGAUACCCUGGUAGUCCACGCCCUAAACGAUGUCUACUAGUUGUUGGUGGAGUAAAAUCCAUGAGUAACGCAGCUAACGCGUGAAGUAGACCGCCUGGGGAGUACGGUCGCAAGAUUAAAACUCAAAGGAAUUGACGG